GAUUAUUGGGAGAAGAGAAAUUAGAUAAAAAAAGGGAUGAGUUAGUGCACGAAACAUUACACACUUGGGCUUGCUCUACUAUGCAGAGAGGCUGUUUCCUUGUAGACACUGUUGAUAAUUUUAACCAUUGCUGUUUCCUUGAACACACUGUUCAUAAUUUUAACUAUUUAUCUAAUUUCUCUUCUCCCAAUAAUCAGAAUCCAUAACGAGUGGAUAAAGAUCCUGAGCAGAAGUGGAAGAUCCAGUCCAAGGUCCAUCCAGUGACAUACUUUGGGUCAUGCUGGUGCUUGUAUCCUGGUCAAUGCAGUGCUGAAA
rnacentral:misc_RNA from 1 species